rnacentral:rRNA from 1 species
UACGUAGGGGGCUAGCGUUAUCCGGAAUUACUGGGCGUAAAGGGUGCGUAGGUGGUUUCUUAAGUCAGAGGUGAAAGGCUACGGCUCAACCGUAGUAAGCCUUUGAAACUGGGGAACUUGAGUGCAGGAGAGGAGAGUGGAAUUCCUAGUGUAGCGGUGAAAUGCGUAGAUAUUAGGAGGAACACCAGUUGCGAAGGCGGCUCUCUGGACUGUAACUGACACUGAGGCAUGAAAGCGUGGGGAGCAAACAGG